rnacentral:lncRNA from 1 species
AAACACACUUGAAAAUCAAGAUUGCAGGGAGAUGGAAAGAAUUUGAGAAGAAGAGAGAUGUAGAGAGAUGAUUAAAAACAUAAAAAUGAGGCUAUAUUUAUAAAAAAUAAAUUCAUAAUCCAGUGUUUUGCAGUCCAUCAUAAGUUUCAUGCAUGUGCUCCUUACAACCAUUAGAUCAAGAUCCAACGGCUGGUUAAACUUCAAAAGUCAACAUCACAUGUGGCAUCGUUUGACUCGUCUGAUUUGGCCAAAGAACGAUUGAGAUUUGGCGGGUUAAUGGGUGGAUCGGGUCGACCCGAAUACAAAGAUUCGGAUUUUACAACUUGCUUCACCAACCAUUGUCACGUGGCACAAUUAUGGCCAUUGAAUCAUGAACGGUUGAGAUUUAGUCAAAAUUGUCAGCCAUUCCAUGUACUCAUUUCUAUUGUAAGCUCAUUUUAUCAUCCAAUCAGUGCUCAGUCAACAGGAAAAGUCAACUAUUUUUACACAAGCCCAAUUUUAAGCUGAUCUUGGCUGAUCUUAAGGUUUUCGGUAGGGAUGGCAAAAUCCUCCACAGGUUUGGGGCCUCAUGGAGCCCUACCUCAAAUGGGAAAAUUUUUUAAUAAUUUUUGGGGAAUGGGGUGGAGAGUGGGGGAAAAAUAAUUCCCAAAUUGUUAACAGGGUGGGGUUUGGUAUUGCACUCCCCACCCCACCCCCACCCCAAUUCACAUUAUAUAUAAAUAUGUUUUUAA